rnacentral:lncRNA from 1 species
GCAGCAUCUACCAGGUGGGACCAGUCUAGCCCUGUGGCAGUGUCUGGCAGGGGCAUCAGGCCAGGAUCAUUGAAUUUGGCUUUAUCAGAUAAGGACCCAUCUGAGAACCAGAAUUCAUUUCUCAGAUUUCCCAUUCCAGGUGUCAGGCUCAUUCUGGGAGGCAACGUGCUGUGAUACGGUGGAGUAGUGCUGAAUAAGAUAUCAUUUGGGAGAGCCUGGUCUAGCAUUGAACUUCGAGAGCUGGCGUAUGAAGAUCCUCUUCGAUUGCUACAUAUACUUUCAUCUGACAGGGUACGAUAAAGUGUCCUCCGUGGAGAAAGAUUUCCAUAAAAUGAAAACUUUCUUCUCCCCUCCUCCACAGAGAUGUUUUCUGGAAGCAUCAGCUUCAGAAAAUCUUCUUUGGACAACACUUGCUGGCUUUCAACAAUGGCAUUCCUCACAGAAGUUUGAAGCGGACUUGAUGCAGACACAGCAUCUAUAUCAUCGUAUACUUCGUGGCAUUCAGAAAUUUCAGAUUCUUCAGGUGUAGGACUUCCUUCUGAUUUCUUCCACCCAAUGACGUAUUUACUCACUGCUCCUUG